rnacentral:misc_RNA from 1 species
GAUGAAGAACGCAGCGAAAUGCGAUAAGUAAUGUGAAUUGCAGAAUUCAGUGAAUCAUCGAAUCUUUGAACGCACAUUGCGCCCCCUGGUAUUCCGGGGGGCAUGCCUGUUCGAGCGUCAUUUCACCACUCAAGCCUCGCUUGGUAUUGGGCAACGCGGUCCGCCGCGUGCCUCAAAUCGACCGGCUGGGUCUUCUGUCCCCUAAGCGUUGUGGAAACUAUUCGCUAAAGGGUGUUCGGGAGGCUACGCCGUAAAACAACCCCAUUUCCAAGGUUGACCUCGGAUCAGGUAGGGAUACCCGCUGAACUUAAGCAUAUCAAUAAGCGGAGGA